rnacentral:rRNA from 1 species
CCUACGGGUGGCAGCAGUGAGGAAUAUUGGUCAAUGGGCGCGAGCCUGAACCAGCCAAGUAGCGUGAAGGAUGACUGCCCUACGGGUUGUAAACUUCUGUUAUAAAGGAAUAAAGUGAGGCACGGGUGCCGUGUUGUAUGUACGUUAUGAAUAAGGAUAGGCUAACUCCGUGCCAGCAGCCGCGGUAAUACGGAGGAUCAGAGCGUUAUCCGGAUUGAUUGGGUUUAACGGGAGCGUAGAGGGGUUGUUAAGGCAGUGGGGCACGUUUGCGGCUCAACCGUAACAUUGCAAUUGAUACUGGCAGUCUUGCGUACAGUUGAGGUAGGCGGACUUCGUGGUGUAGCGGU